AAAAUGUCUUAUCCAACUUUGUGGAAUAUCCUUGUGAUAAUGUUCUUUUGUAGGAGAAUGAAGGAGACCAGGGUCGGCGUUUCUGAGGCUCGUGGGAAUUUAUUAGUCAACAAAAAUAAAACAAAGUCGCGCCACCUGCGCAUACGUUUAAUUCAAACCACUGAUGGGCAAUUCACAGUCUUGCUUUUCACUCGCUUGCUUGCUUGCUUGAGUCCCCACGAGUCCUCAGAUCUCUCUGCCCUCGCUGGUUUACGGCUGGCUUAAAUACCGCUUCCCCAUGCCAAUCACUGCAAUGAGAACCAGGUGUUACUCGUUUUUCACUUGACCCGCUUACCACCGCUCGUCUCUUCACUCUCUCUCCUGUCACAGACCUCGCUGAACCACGCCUCCCCUGCCACAAUCCUUAUAUAUAACUUCUGUAUCCACUAACUACAUUACAUACUAACUACAUCUACUAACAUAAUGAGUGUUAGUAACUGUGUAAACACACCGUAUUGUUUAUGUGGGGAAGAAUCUAUGUACCAUAAGUAUUUCUAACUGCGUAGUCAGUCAGCUGAGUCUGUUUCAUACGGAGAAGUUAAACUGCAACAAUAUUUAUUCUUUUGUGCCAGUAGUUCCAAGAACCAUCAGUUAGUAUGAUAUUUUGGAUCUCAAAAGAGGAAGAGGUCCAAAACCGAGACGCAGACUAGUCUAUUGUUGAAGGUCAUGAGGUAUUGUUAAUUAUAGUCCUUCUAUGCCUUAGAUGAUGACUUCUGUUUUGAACAAUUGUUUACAUUGAAAUUACAGGGUAUAUAAGCGAGCCUUAUGCACUCUGCAGACAGACUCUUCUGAGACUCUUCUGACUCUCCUCUAUCUUUCAAGCUUUCACUUCCUCUUUCUUUGGCUUCACUCGAAAACACAUACUCAGACACGUUUUUAUUCAUUUUGGAUACUGAAUACAGGUUUUUAUUCAAUUUAAUUUUAUCUAAUUUAGAUUGGCAUAAUUUAUAUACCUUUUUGAUUCAGACAGAAUAAUUGUUUAUGUUUGGUCACAAUUUUUUAUCAAUGUUUGUAUUAAUACUAGAUGGGUGCAAUACAUCAUAAAUGGAUUGUUAUUAAAAAUGUACUAACAUUUGAUUUGUAUUUUCUAUAUUUGAAGAUGGUUUUUAUUUUUAAGAGUUUUGUUUCCAAGUUAUGAUUUGUAGUUUCUGUUCUCUAUAUUCUUUUGAAUAAAUUUACAUAUUACUGCA
ensembl:lncRNA